UCUAGCCAUCCAUCAAAUCCCCUCAUCCAUCUUUUCUCACUCAGUAAUUUCCCUAAAAUCCCUUACCGAUUCUCAAUCGCCAUUCUCAGUCUCACCAGCUGCGAGGUGUUCGAGGUCGAUGAGACGAUUGCUGUGGAGUCACACACCAUCAAGCAGAUGGUGGAAGACGACUACACCAUCAACCAAACGAGUAUGGCCAGAAGCAUGUCGAGCGUCAAGACGGCGAUAGCAUCGACAUCAGCAAGAGCGGCGAUUAGACUAUCACUGCAAGGUUUUCUAUCACUCAAAAGCAAGAGUCGCUUCGGCUCUCGAUUAUUCAUCAGCUGCACCAUAAACGAUUUGAUUUGAUUAGGAGUCUUAAUCUGUUUGAAUAAUUAUACAUAUUGAUUGGCUGUCUGCUAUACAAAUUACCACAAAACAAGAAAGAUUUAGUCACAAGUAAAUAAACUAUAUUUAUCUCUUAAUUAAUGCUGCAAAAUCUGUGUUGGGUCAAUAAUUGCAAGCUAUUUUUUCCAAGAAACAAUCAGUUAUUGGAUCUAAGUUGCUAAUUGUUUUGAUUUUGAGGCUUCAAUAAAAUCAGCACCCACAACUGGAUAGUCAAGAAGCCUGACCGCUACCGCCCUGGAAUCGUCGCUCUUCGGGUACUACCAGUUUUCUGCUAGCUCUUAUUCCACACUUCAGAAAGGUUUUAGAUAGAAGUGCUUGGUGGAUCACGAGGAUUUCGACGGGGGUUCUGACAUAAAAACAUUAAUGUAGGAUCACCCUUAGGUGUUGUAUAAUUAACACUUGUCCUGCUUGACUGCACUUAAACUAUUUAUCCUCUGGUUGUGUAAUUCACACUUAAUCUUGCACUAGCACUCUAUCUUAGUUAGUACUCUAGUUGAUUUGGUUUUUGUUUAUUGAUAAUUCCUUAUAUCUCUUUUGCUUCCGCACUGUGCAUAUGGUUAUGUCUCUCUCACGUGACGGCCAACACGCCCUGAUUUAGGUCGGGGUGUGUCAAAUGCUCUUUGUACUGGUGCAGUAUCAUUGGUGCUCACUUUGUAUUUUUCCAAUCCCUAUAUAUUUGCUCAACUCUUGGGUCAA